rnacentral:tRNA from 1 species
GCCUGGAUAGCUCAGUUGGUUAGAGCGUGGUGCUGAUAAUGUCAAGGUUGCAGGUUCAAUCCCUGUACGGGACA